ACCUGAGACCGCCACAGUGACUUGCAAGCAACUCACUGCACUUAGGCACUGGACUACCUGAAUUUUUAAUUCAGUGAUGGAAGGCUGCUGGGUGUAGUCAAGUACUUGACUUAUCGGUGCGUGUGUCAAGAUGGGAUUGACCACUCCAGUUUAGGAGCUGUGUACAGUCAUGUUUCAAUUUAGCAAAACCUUAGCCAAGGUAGUCCUUGUGAGGAG
rnacentral:lncRNA from 1 species